GUAUGUGACUGAGAAGGUGAGUUGAUGUAGGUGUGAGAGGGGAGACAGGUGUGAUUGGAUAGGUAGGUGUAAUUGAGAAGGGAUUUAAUGCAGGUGUGAGUGAGGAGACAGGUGUGAUUGGAGAGGUAAGGCAAGGUAGGUGUGAGUGAGACAGUGAGUUAAGAAAGGAGUAAAUGAAGAGGAGAGAUAAAACAGGUGUGAAUGAAAAGAUGAAAUAAAGCAGGUGUGAAUGAGAUAGUAAGAUUAAACAAGUGUGAAUAAAAAGAUAAGAUAAAGACAAGUAUAGAUGAAAAAUGAAAGAUAAAACAAAUAUAAAAGAAAACGAGAUAAAACUAGUAAAAA